rnacentral:rRNA from 1 species
AUUGAACGCUGGCGGCAGGCCUAACACAUGCAAGUCGAACGAGCGGCGGACGGGUGAGUAAUGUCUGGGAAACUGCCUGAUGGAGGGGGAUAACUACUGGAAACGGUAGCUAAUACCGCAUACCAUACGAUGUGCCCAGAUGGGAUUAGCUAGUAGGUGGGGUAAUGGCUCACCAAGGCGACGAUCCCUAGCUGGUCUGAGAGGAUGACCAGCCACACUGUACCGGAGACACGGUCCAGACUCCUACGGGAGGCAGCAGUGGGAAAUAUUGCACAAUGGGCGAAAGGCGGAUGCAGCCAUGCCGAGUGUGUGAAGAAGGCCCUCGGGCUGUAAAGCAAUUUCAGCGAGGAGGCGUUAAUAGCAGAAGAAGCACCGGCUAACUCCGUGCCAGCAGCCGCGGUAAUUC